rnacentral:ncRNA from 1 species
AUGAAAGCUAUGAAGAGAAAAAGUAAAAUUUACUUGAACUUUUACAGAGAGUUCCCGGAUGGUGAGAGGGGCAAAGGUAGUUUAUUUGAAUACAUCUCAGAGCAGCACUCCGAAAGAUAACAACCAGUAGGCAGAUGUCGGUUCCUGCACCCGUUAUAGUGCUAGAGUAUAACCAAUUUUGGCGUACUUGAUAAGGUUGUUAUGGUGACAUAACGAUAAACUAAGGUGGUAACACGGGAAUAUACACUCUCGUCCUUUUA